rnacentral:misc_RNA from 1 species
UGGAAAAUGUAAAGUAACAGAAAAAUCAAGAACAUGUCAAUAGACAGAGGACAAAGUGAAAAGUUAAACAUUGAGGAUUCCACACUAAUGACGGAAAUGCAACCACAAAGCUGUGCAAAUCUCACACUUUAACCCCAAGUAAGUUUAUAUAAGAAAAUAAUAUUGCAUAAUGUAGCAGAAAAUUAAAAAGUGCUGCCCAAAUUAACACAGUUCAAGCAGACAAUAAUAUCUCAAAUUAAAUUCUCUCACACAAGCUAUUUCUAACCAGGUUUUUAAAUAUUGAGCGUUAUGUAACAUAUUAUAUUUACAUAAUGGGUCUUUAUGGGGUCAAUCAGGAUUUUAGAUAAUGGAAUAGGAAUGAAUUGGACAGAUAUGACAGCCACUAUUGUGAAUUGUUUCACAAAUUUAGCAAAAUGACUCAAAUUAACAUUUAAUGAAGAAUCUUACUAAAUACCACCAUAAACUACCACAUUUA